ACGGGUGAGUAAUGCCUAGGAAUCUGCCUGGUAGUGGGGGACAACGUUUCGAAAGGAACGCUAAUACCGCAUACGUCCUACGGGAGAAAGCAGGGGACCUUCGGGCCUUGCGCUAUCAGAUGAGCCUAGGUCGGAUUAGCUAGUUGGUGAGGUAAUGGCUCACCAAGGCGACGAUCCGUAACUGGUCUGAGAGGAUGAUCAGUCACACUGGAACUGAGACACGGUCCAGACUCCUACGGGAGGCAGCAGUGGGGAAUAUUGGACAAUGGGCGAAAGCCUGAUCCAGCCAUGCCGCGUGUGUGAAGAAGGUCUUCGGAUUGUAAAGCACUUUAAGUUGGGAGGAAGGGCAGUAAGCGAAUACCUUGCUGUUUUGACGUUACCGACAGAAUAAGCACCGGCUAACUCUGUGCCAGCAGCCGCGGUAAUACAGAGGGUGCAAGCGUUAAUCGGAAUUACUGGGCGUAAAGCGCGCGUAGGUGGUUUGUUAAGUUGGAUGUGAAAGCCCCGGGCUCAACCUGGGAACUGCAUCCAAAACUGGCAAGCUAGAGUACAGUAGAGGGUGGUGGAAUUUCCUGUGUAGCGGUG
rnacentral:rRNA from 3 species